AUUUGAUCCUUGUUUUUGGUCAUGACACAACAGAGCAAGAUGCACCAGAUCCACCGGAGGAUUGUUUUCGCAUUAGAAUGGUUAUCACUCUUCUUGAGACCUGUGGACACUACUUUGACCGAGGUUCUUCUAAGAGGAAACUUGAUCGUUUUUUAAUACACUUUCAGAGAUAUAUUCUCAGCAAAGGUGCACUGCCGCUUGACAUUGAAUUUGACUUGCAGGACUUAUUUGCGGAAUUACGCCCUAGCAUGAUGCGAUACUCAUCAAUUGAUGAAGUUAAUGCAGCUUUUAUAGAACUCGAGGAGAAUGAACAAAUUGGUUCAACUGAUAAGGUCAAUAGUGAGAAGCACUCUGAC
rnacentral:misc_RNA from 1 species